rnacentral:tRNA from 1 species
GUGGCCAUAGCUUAGCGGUCUAAAGCACUGCUCUGUGGCAGCAGGGAUCGAGGGUUCAAAUCCCUCUGGCCACCCCA